AGAGUUUGAUCCUGGCUCAGAGUGAACGUUGGCGGCGUGCCUAACACAUGCAAGUCGAGCGCGUUCCGGGGGCAACUCCGGGACGAGCGGCGAACGGGUGAGUAACACGUGGGUAAUCUCCCUCCGAGUGAGGAAUAAGCCCCCGAAAGGGGGUCUAAUACCGCAUGACGCCGUGGGGCAUAUGCGCCCAUGGUUAAAGCCGUAAGGCGCUUGGAGAUGAGCCUGCGUCCUAUUAGCUAGUUGGUAGGGUAACGGCCUACCAAGGUUAUGAUGGGUAGCCGGCCUGAGAGGGUGAUCGGCCACACUGGGACUGAGACACGGCCCAGACUCCUACGGGAGGCAGCAGUGGGGAAUUUUGCGCAAUGGGGGAAACCCUGACGCAGCGACGCCGCGUGGAGGAUGACGGCCUUCGGGCCUUAAACUCCUGUCAGAGGUGAAGAAUCCCCGCAAGGGGUUGACGGUAACCUCAAAGGAAGCCCCGGCUAACUACGUGCCAGCAGCCGCGGUAAGACGUAGGGGGCAAACGUUACUCGGAAUUACUGGGCGUAAAGGGUGUGUAGGCGGCUGGGUAAGUCAAAGAUGAAAUCCCGAGGCUCAACUUCGGAAUGGUCUUUGAUACUGCCCGGCUUGAGGGUAGUCGAGGAGGAUGGAAUUCCCGGUGGAGCGGUGAAAUGCGUAGAUAUCGGGAGGAACACCCGAGGCGUAAGCGAUUCUCUAUCCUACUCCUGACGCUGAAACACGAAAGCUAGGGGAGCGAACGGGAUUAGAUACCCCGGUAGUCCUAGCUAUAAACGAUGGAC
rnacentral:rRNA from 1 species